rnacentral:rRNA from 1 species
AGAUUGAACGCUGGCGGCAGGCCUAACACAUGCAAGUCGAGCGGCAGCACGGGUACUUGUACCUGGUGGCGAGCGGCGGACGGGUGAGUAAUGCCUAGGAAUCUGCCUGAUAGUGGGGGAUAACGUUCGGAAACGGACGCUAAUACCGCAUACGUCCUACGGGAGAAAGUGGGGGAUCUUCGGACCUCACGCUAUCAGAUGAGCCUAGGUCGGAUUAGCUAGUUGGUAGGGUAAAGGCCUACCAAGGCUACGAUCCGUAACUGGUCUGGAGAGGAUGAUCAGUCACACUGGAACUGAGACACGGUCCAGACUCCUACGGGGAGCAGCAGGUAGGGAAUAG